UACGUAGGGGGCGAGCGUUGUCCGGAAUCAUUGGGCGUAAAGCGCGUGUAGGCGGCCCGGUAAGUCCGCUGUGAAAGUCCAGGGCUCAACCCUGGGAUGCCGGUGGAUACUGUCGGGCUCGAGUCCGGAAGAGGCGAGUGGAAUUCCUGGUGUAGCGGUGAAAUGCGCAGAUAUCAGGAGGAACACCAAUGGCGAAGGCAGCUCGCUGGGACGUGACUGACGCUGAAACGCGAAAGCGUGGGGAGCAAACAGG
rnacentral:rRNA from 1 species